UCCUCCGUGGCGCAAUUGGCUAGCGCGUCUGACUGUUAAUUCCAAGGUUGAAAGUUCGAGCCUUUCCGGGGGAG